GUUAGUGGGAGCACCGCGGCGUUGGGCGCAACCCCGAGGGCGGGGGCGAUUGGCGCGUGCGGUUUUUCCUAAAGACAAACACGGUCGGUUAUUUAAAAUAAUCCACCCCCUCUUCGAUGGUAGCCGCGGACUGCACAGUAGAUUUAGAUUUAAUGAAAAAUGGAGGGCCACGGCGGAGAUCUUUGCUGAGAAACGAGGAAAAUUUAAGGAUUGCUUAUGUGUAUUGAAGCCUCACUGCCAAAUUGGAGAUAAGACCGUGGCCUUCUGUUCCUCUGUUCCUUCAACAAGAGCUCCUAAUCUUACAAACUCACUCAAGCACAGGAAAGGAAACAUGAAUGGAGGUGAUGAGGCAAGAGAAGCCCAAGAGAAGGCUGCAAACACACUGACAAACCAUGAUAUUUGUGGGCUUCCUCAUAUACAUUGACAGACCACACACUGAUAAAGAAAACAAAGCCUGUGACCCCAUCGAGAAAUCUGGAGCAGCUAGAAUAAAAGGAAGAAAAGACCUGAGACCACAGGUGGUACAGACACAAUGCUCAGCAGGUGUUUCCACCUGGCACAGGAUUUUCCUGGAUCACUGCAAAGAGAAGCCAUGCAACAGCUCAGUCCAUUGGAAGGAGGACAAACAGGAAAUAUAAUCAGCUGAGCUCCCAAGUCCCCCUUUUUUCCUAAAUUUGUCUCAGUGAAAAUCCACCGAGACAAAAUUAACUCCACAUCCUAUGCAGGCAUCUUCUGGCCCUUAAAGCUGCCUAUUGAAAACACAUACCCCAAGU